AGUCAACUAAGGUCAUUGGAUUGAACAAACUUCCAAACCCACAGAUCGGCGAAUGCUAUUCGUCUAGGAAUCAGAUCAAGUACACUUAUCAGAGAUCGGAAAAAUAACCAAUGCGAUAACAAAACAAAAACGUUCAAAGUAAAAAUUUCAUUUCAUUUCCAAAAGAUGAGAUUACAUCAUUUGGGAGAUCUUAAAAGAUCUGAUUACAUCAUUUGAGCGAUCUCUCAAAAUCAGCACUACGAUCUACCUAGCUUAAGACUACUCUGAAGCCUUGAACGCUGACCUAUGUCAAAGCCUAGUAUUGUG
rnacentral:misc_RNA from 1 species